GUUUGAUCCUGGCUCAGGACGAACGCUUGCGGCGUGCCUAACACAUGCAAGUCGAGCGAAUGAAGUUCCUUCGGGAACGGAUUUAGCGGCGGACGGGUGAGUAACACGUGGGCAACCUGCCUCAUAGAGGGGAAUAGCCUUCCGAAAGGGAGAUUAAUACCGCAUAAGAUUGUAGUACCGCAUGGUACAGCAAUUAAAGGAGCAAUCCGCUAUGAGAUGGGCCCGCGGCGCAUCUGCUAGUUGGUGAGGUAACGGCUCACCAAGGCGACGAUGCGUAGCCGACCUGAGAGGGUGAUCGGCCACAUUGGGACUGAGACACGGCCCACACUCCUACGGGAGGCAGCAGUGGGGAAUAUUGCACGAUGGGGGAAACCCUGAUGCACCAACGCCGCGUGAGUGAUGACGGCCUUCGGGUUGUAAAGCUCUGUCUUCAGGGACGAUAAUGACGGUACCUGAGGAGGAAGCCACGGCUAACUACGUGCCAGCAGCCGCGGUAAUACGUAGGUGGCGAGCGUUGUCCGGAUUUACUGGGCAUAAAGGGUGCGUAGGCGGCAAGUUAAGUUUAAGGUAUAAGCUCAUGGCUCAACCAUGGGAGGCUUUAGAAACUGGCUAGCUAGAGUGCAGUAGAGGCAAGUGGAAUUCCAUGUGUAGCGGUAAAAUGCGUAAAUAUAUGGAGGAACACCAGUAGCGAAGGCGGCUUGCUGGGCUGUAACUGACGCUAAGGCACGAAAGCGUGGGGAGCAAACAAGAUUAGAUACCCUGGUAGUCCACGCCGUAAACGAUGAGUACUAAGUGUCGGGGGAAUCUCGGUGCUGAAGCAAAUGUAAUAAGUACUCCGCCUGAGUAGUACGUGCGCAAGCAUGAAACUCAAAGGAAUUGACGGGACCCUGCACAAGCGGUGGAUCAUGUUGUUUAAUUCGAGGAUACGCGAAGAACCUUACCAGGCCUUGACAUCCUCUGCAAAGCUAUAGAGAUAUAGUGGAGGUUAACAGAGAGACAGGUGGUGCACGGUUGUCGUCAGCUCGUGUCGUGAGAUGUUGGGUUAAGUCCCGUAACGAGCGCAACCCUUGUUGCUAGUUGCCAUCAUUAAGUUGGGGACUCUAGCGAGACUGCCAGUGAUAAACUGGAGGAAGGCGGGGAUGACGUCAAAUCAUCAUGCCCCUUAUGGCCUGGGCUACAAACGUGAUACAAUAGCCGGUACAGAGGGCAGCCACCUGGUGACAGGGAGCAAAUCUCCAAAGCCGGUCUCAGUUCGGAUCGAAGUCUGCAACUCGACUUCGUGAAGUUGGAUUCGCUAGUAAUCGUAUAUCAGCAACGAUACGGUGAAUACGUUCCCGGGCCUUGUACACACCGCCCGUCA
rnacentral:rRNA from 1 species